AGUGAGGGUUGAACGGCUGAUUG
rnacentral:piRNA from 1 species